AACGCGAAGAACCUUACCCGGGCUCGAACGGCAGUGGAAUACGGUUGAAAGAUCGUAGCUAGCAAUAGCCGCUGUCGAGGUGCUGCAUGGUUGUCGUCAGCUCGUGCCGUGAGGUGUCGGCUUAAGUGCCAUAACGAGCGCAACCCCUAUCUUCAGUUGCCAUCGGGUCAAGCCGGGGACUCUGGAGAGACUGCCAGCGUAAGCUGUGAGGAAGGUGGGGAUGACGUCAAAUCAGCACGGCCCUUACGUCCGGGGCGACACACGUGUUACAAUGGGUGGUACAGAGGGCAGCUACCGGGCGACCGGAUGCCAAUCUCGAAAGCCACUCCCAGUUCGGAUCGGAGUCUGCAACUCGACUCCGUGAAGUUGGAUUCGCUAGUAAUCGCGCAUCAGCCACGGCGCGGUGAAUACGUUCCCGGGUCUUGUACACACCG
rnacentral:rRNA from 1 species